UUCUUCCCAUAGCUAGGUUUCCCAACCGGGACAGCUGAGACUUGGGAAGAAUCCGUUUGGCAGGAGACAGCCCUUUGGUGCAGUGAUGCUUUGGUGCAGUGACCUGACACGACUCCCCGUGGGACCCAUUUCAUUCCUGGUGAACCAACCAACCCUAACAAUAAAGUGCUCUUCAGAGCAACUCAUCACACUUCCUAGAGGCUCCCUGUUUAUGCUACGACCUGUGUGCCAGCCAGCUAGCUUGAAAGUGCCUGGGAUUUUUCUGAAGCUACAGCUGAGGACUAGGCCAAGGCUUGAGAACGGUUCAUUUCCAGACACAAUGAGAAACGGGCCUGUUCUGCAAGUCUGUGCUUAUCUCAACCGUGUUCACUAAUCAAAUAUUCAACAAAUGAAGCUCACUGAAGAUGAGAAGCAAGGGACAGACUGGUAAAGGCAGGCCCAGUGAUGGCAGUGAGAAGUUACUGCUAGCCGGGGAAGAGGAAGAAAGAAGCUACACACACGCUAAGAGGCACUAAACAAGAACUUCAAUACCCAACUCAACCUGCACAGACAUUUAGGAACAGUCAGUACAAAGCAGCGCCAAAUGUCUCCAAUAUCCUUGAGGAUAUCCCCAUCGGAGAGAACAGCAUCAUCUUUUUACUAAUGUUAACCUGCACUCAUCAAGAAAAACGUCUGUACAACAUAGUUAGAAGAUUAGGCAAAUAAGAUUUAAAAUAAUUCCCAUGUAAAUCAGAAUCUAGUUUGAUAAAACUAUUUUGGAGCCCAAAGGGAUAGGCUUCAGUUUUCUAAGAAAUUCAUUUAGUUAGUUAGACAGUUAAUCCUAAGUAACCCAGAGCCUAGAGAAGACAGUCUCUCCUUGGAGGUGCUUAUAGUGAAAGAGGCUGGGACACCACACGUGAUGAAGCAAGAGGCCUGCCUGCCUGCCCCGGGAAUGGAGGUGUGGGAGUUUCCAAGAGGAAAACACGUGGGCUCACAGGUCUGAAUUUUCCCUUCCUCCCCUCUCCUUAUUUGGGGCCUCAAGAAUCCCCCAAACGAUGACUUGUCACUCCAAAGUGCACGUCUCCAAACACUGGAAGGGGCCUUCAGCCAACGUUCCGCUUCAGAGCUGAACAUCCCCUAAGCUGAGGGCCCUUCUGAAAUAGCCACCCUUCUUUACUUGGUCUUGUAACUUUUCUCAGGACCACAGGGCUCUGCCCUGGUGUCGAUACCACCUCUCCAUCUGUGGCUGUACUUGAAAGAAUCCUGAUAGGCAGGGGUUUUAGGGAACAAAGAGACUUUGAUGGCAGUAUGAUGGUGUACAUGGGAAUAAUUAACACCAGUGAUGGAAGUAAAGUACUCGAAGUAGCCUUUCCACAUCUACUCUGUGCACCAAGAAGGAAAAGCAGCAGAGGGGCCACCAGCAGUGGAGUGAGGCCCUCUUUGGCAGUGACAAAAAAGGAAACUCAGGAUGAAAGGCUCCCAUCCUGAAAGCCAUGACCCACCAGUCCUGAGAGUUCCAAGCCCCUAACCUGGAAAAUCGUAUUUUUGAGUCAACUCCUCCCAUCUUCCCCUGUUGUUUUAAUUCUGGAAAUUCUGACUCAGGCAAAGAAAUAAAACAUUUUUGCAGUUAGGGCGGUGCUUUUCAAACUCUUCUAUACAAGUACAAGUUCUUCAAGAACUUGUACUCCUGGGGGUUUGGGUUAUAGUCUUAAGCACUGCCUGAUAUAAGUUGGAAAUUUCUUUGAAACGUCACAUUUUACCUUAGUAACUCAUGAGAAUUUUUACUUUACUUCAUAAUACAUCAACAACUUUCCUCUGAAAUAGGAGGGAAAAAAAUCAACACUUUGGGAAGAUGACCCUUGUUUAUGACUUCUCACAUCUCACCUGAAAAAUAGGGACCUGGAGAAAAACCUGGGGCUGUUACAAAUCUCAAGAGGAGAUUCUCAGAGUAAACAGUAAUAUUUGGACAUUUCUUUCUAUACCCUUAGUUGGUUAUCAACAUUGAAAUAAAUUACAACAGAAAAAUAUUCAAACCAGUUGCCCAGAGUCCAAGAGACUGUUUAGUCUCCAGACAGAGUGCUCUGAUGGUGUUGGAAAUGAGAACAGAGGCCCCGGAGACAGAAGUUAAGAUGUAUAUACAACGGGUUUUAAGCUACAUGAAAAGAAAUACAUAUCAGAUAGCAAAAGAUUAAAAAACAAAAGGGCAAGACUUACCUUAAACUCUGCUAGUUGUUGGUUGAUGAGAUCCACUUCGGUCCCCACGACCCACUGAAGUGCCUCCCCUUCCUCUGCUGCCGUGGUCAUGUCAUUGAGGGCUUUCAGCUUCCUGUAGAAGUCCUCCACGCGGCCCAGCGUCAGCUCCAGCUGCUCCUGGCGAGCCCUGCUCCUCUCUGUCAGUUUACCACACUGUUUGUUCAGGGCUUCCAGCUCCCUCUUGAGACCUAACAAGUCCAAAGUCCCCUCCUCCUCUAGCAUCUGCCGACACUCUGCUUCAGAGGCCUCUAUAUCUAACCUGAGGGCUUGGAUUUUGUGGAGGAAUAGCCGUACAUCCUCAAUUUGGGACUGGAGGCUAUCGGUGUCUCUGCCGAUGGCACCCAUGCUGUCUAGCUCAUCGUCCAGGUCCGCCAGCUGAGAAAACAUCUCUCGAACUCGGCAGUGAAACUGGCCAAUCCCCUCCAGCUUGUUUUCCAUCGCCAUGCAACCACUGUUUACUCUCUGCUUCACUUCCAGGAACUCCUGUUGGGUAACCUCAGCUUGAUGUAGAAGUUGGGAAGCAUCAGAUCCAUCUGGGGCAUCUUCUACCAAGCCCUGAGUGAAGUUCCUCAGAUAGUCUACCUGGGGCUCCAGGGUCUGGAGCACUUCCUGUUGAGCUCUUAGCUUCUCUAGGUUCUUGUUGCUACAGGCUUGAGAGCCCAGAGCAUCAAAGAUCUCAAGUUGGUGUUUGGCCGCUUCAAUCUUCUUUUCAAUAUUUUUAAAGCUUUCCUGAAACUCCUUGAGUCUCUGAGUCAUUUCUUCAAGAGACCCUGUUUUGGUCUGUAGUUCUUCUGUAAUGGAAUCCAUGUUCUGGUUGAUCCCAGCCUUCUCAUCCCGGAUAUCAUCUUCAUCUGUUUCCGAGGAGUUGAUCAGAAUGUCAGCAGCACUGUUCAGGAUUUCUAGCAGGGAGCGGCGCUUUUCCACCUCACUCAGCAUAGCCUUUGAUCUCAGGAGAUUGGACUCCAGCUGCACUGGGUCCAGAGUGACCUGCAAGUCCGGCAUCUUGGCCUUACAAUCUUCUAUCCACGGCACGAGGUCUUCCACGUGCCAUUGAUAUUUCUGAGCUUUCUGCAGACAGUCCUUGAGCCUGGAUUGUCUAUCUGCAGUUUUUUUACUAAGCUCUUCCCAGUGGCUUUUGAGCUCAACCAACUGGUUUUGUAAAGUCUUCUUUUCUUCUCCAGGAGGUACGGAAAGAAGUAGAGAUUCUCCUUCGGCCACAAUCACCUCAUAGGAACCACUGUGUUGGUUCAGGCUCUUCUGAAACUCUUCAUUCUCCUGGAGCUGAGACUGUAGCCGCUCCAAUUUUGCAGAAAUUGGGCAGUUUUUCGCUUGCUGGCUUUGUUUGUCAUCCAACCAAGUUCUCAGUUCAUCAAACAUUUGCUGGAACUGCUGGGUGCUGGCAAGAGCUGCCUGGAGUCUGUUCAUGCGAUCAGCUGAAAUGAGGAAAUCAAAUUUAAACCAAUCAAAUCUGAACAUGGCAUUUAAAAUGUUUGCUGGGAGUAUAUGGUCUAAUCUUAGGGGAAGGAAACUUAUGUUAACUGAGGCCCUACCAUAAAAGCAGCACAAAGCUGGUCUCCUUCAUAUACUAGACUUAUUUAAUCCUCACACCAACCUAAUAAGGUGAUCUGAAUAACAGAAGUAAACUUUUACUUCUAAGCGGGUAAAAAGCCAUAAAUGUUUCCAGAGAAAGGCAACAAACUGAUGACAAAAUUCUUCUUGUACAAGGCCAUCGUACGCAUCUGAUUCUGUGUGUGUGCAUGUAACUUGACCUGUGAAUACACCUAUGAGCAUGAAUCUGGACCUGCAGGCAAAAUUGACAUUAGUGCUCUUAUCGCUGGAACUGCUCCAUAAAGCUUCACAUAUCGUUAGUGCCCAGUCAGUGUAUGAUAAUCACAGCAUUUCUCACCAUAGCUGGACAAAAGGUUAGGGUAACACUAGUCUGAAUCCAAAAGCUACUUACAGGUCACCCUAAAUUCUUGGGACUAUCACGAAGCCAAUCUUUUGGCUUGCCGCUAAUGUCAGUAGUACGUGCCUUACCCUAACUUACCUGCAAGGUCUUCUAAACCUUGGAGAGGCAGGGCAACGGUCUCCAAACGCUUCUUCAGCUCAUCCUUAAGGUAUUGCUCCCCGAUGAGUACUGAGAGCUCAUCGCAUAGUGUCUGUGCCUCCUUAAUCUCAUGGUCCAAUUGCUCCACAUCAGAUCGAAUCUCACUGGUCUCCUCUAGUUGCUGCUUCACAGCCUCAGGUUGGGUGCUAAUCGCCGCCUGGCUACUUAGUCGCUGUCCCACUGCCUUGACCUUCUCUGAUAGGUCCUGGAGCAGUUCCUGGUACUGGGUGCUUUUGACAAUAGCUUGAUCAAUUUGGCUGGAACGGGAAUUGAGUUUGUCAGUCAGCUCAACCCACUUGUGGUUGAUGCUCUGGAGUUCUUUCUGUACCUGGCUGGUGGAUGGAGAGACAUCUCCAGGGCCUGUUAGGAUGCCAUGAGCCGCCUCAUUCAGCUGCUCAUGCUGUUGCCUGCGUGCUUCGAAUUCCUUCAGCAUAAACUGCAAAAGAAUUGACAUUAAGAUGUUUAGAGAAAAAAGAUCUAAAAAGAGUGUCAAAACAAAAACUGAUUUUAGAUUGUGCCAACUAGGGCCAACUCCUUUCGAAAAUAAACCAGAAAACUCCAAGGACCAGGCUACUAGGAAAAUGUAAUAUCACUUCUAACAACUGCUUAAUAAAAACUUGUUUUGAAAGGGUCA